GGAGAUGAGGCUACGGUGGCUCUGGCAUAGGCAGCCCCACUGGUGGCUGCGGUGGGGGCGGCCGGAACCCGGGCGUUGAGGCGCGGCGGCGGCGGCGGCCGAGGCGGCGCUGCCUCAGCCGCUGCAGCGGGCUUCCCUUCCUCUUUAGCGUAGCCAGGAAGUUUGGCGCCCCUGUGCAUGUGUGCGCGUGAGUGUGGGUGUGCGCGGCGAGGUUUGCCUAGCGUUUCUGCAGGCGCUGGGUUUUUUGCCCGCGUCGCUUCCCGUAAGCCAGCCAGCAGCCGCGGAGCUUGGGGCUGUGGCCCGGGGAGGGGGCGCGGCGGCGGGCGCUCUCCUUUUGUUGUUGUUUCCUCUGCCUGGAGAGCUGAAGGGGGACGCGCCUGGGUGGGGCGGCUCGCAGCCCGGGCCUGCUGGCCCCCGGGGCUCCCGGGCGGCAGGGUAGCUAGAGGAGAGCGGGCUUCAACAUGAUGGCGGCCGAGGCGGGCAGUGAGGAAGGCGGCCCUGCGACGGCGGGCCCCGGCGGCGGCGCGGCCACGGGCUCCAGCGCCUACUCGGCAGCGUGCCGGGUCAAGUUACCCGCGGCCCUGCCGGUGGCAGCCGCCCCGUGUCCCGGGCUGGCGGACGCCGACUUGGUUGCGGCCCUCGGUGGCGGAGCCGCGUCGGGGUCCGGGUUCCUGGGGACCGGGCCGGUGGCCGGUGUCUUGGGGGGCGCCGCGCUGACCGGCAGUGCUGCUGCUGGCGUGGCUGGUGCUGCGGCCGCCGGACCUGCGGGAGACGUCGCUUUCACCAAGGGGACUCUGUCUUUGCCUGCUGAGACGCUCGGGCCGGGCGGCGGAUUCCCUCCUCUGCCGCCGCCUCCUCAGCUGCCCCCUUUGGGCUCCGGUUUGGGGACCGUGGAUGAAGGUGACUCCCUGGAUGGACCAGAAUACGAAGAGGAAGAGGUGGCCAUACCGCUGACCGCACCUCCCACUAACCAGUGGUAUCAUGGAAAACUUGAUAGAACUAUAGCAGAAGAACGCCUCAGGCAGGCAGGGAAAUCUGGAAGCUAUCUUAUAAGAGAGAGUGAUCGGAGGCCGGGGUCCUUUGUACUUUCAUUCCUUAGUCAGACAAAUGUUGUCAAUCAUUUUAGGAUUAUUGCUAUGUGUGGUGAUUACUACAUUGGUGGAAGGCGUUUUUCUUCACUCUCAGACCUAAUAGGUUAUUACAGUCACGUUUCUUGUUUACUUAAAGGAGAAAAAUUACUCUAUCCAGUUGCACCACCAGAGCCAGUAGAAGAUAGAAGGCGUGUACGAGCCAUUCUGCCCUACACAAAAGUACCAGACACUGAUGAAAUAAGUUUUUUAAAAGGAGAUAUGUUCAUUGUUCACAAUGAGUUAGAAGAUGGAUGGAUGUGGGUUACCAAUCUAAGAACAGAUGAGCAAGGCCUUAUUGUUGAAGACCUAGUGGAAGAGGUGGGCCGAGAAGAAGAUCCACACGAAGGCAAAAUAUGGUUCCACGGGAAAAUUUCCAAACAAGAAGCUUAUAAUUUAUUAAUGACAGUUGGACAAGUCUGCAGCUUUCUUGUGAGGCCCUCAGAUAAUACUCCUGGAGAUUAUUCUCUGUAUUUUCGGACCAAUGAAAAUAUUCAGCGAUUUAAAAUUUGUCCAACACCUAACAACCAGUUUAUGAUGGGAGGCCGCUAUUAUAACAGUAUCGGGGACAUCAUAGACCAUUAUCGGAAAGAACAGAUUGUUGAAGGCUAUUAUCUUAAGGAACCUGUACCAAUGCAGGAUCAAGGGCAAGUACUGAACGACACUGUGGAUGGGAAGGAGAUCUAUAACACAAUUCGUCGGAAGACAAAGGAUGCUUUUUAUAAAAAUAUUGUUAAAAAAGGUUAUCUUCUGAAGAAGGGUAAAGGAAAACGUUGGAAAAAUUUAUAUUUUAUCUUAGAAGGCAGUGAUGCUCAACUUAUUUAUUUUGAAAGUGAAAAACGAGCUACAAAACCAAAAGGGCUAAUAGACCUUAGUGUGUGUUCUGUCUACGUUGUCCAUGACAGUCUCUUCGGCAGGCCAAACUGUUUUCAGAUAGUAGUUCAGCACUUUAGUGAAGAACAUUACAUCUUUUACUUUGCAGGAGAAACUCCAGAACAAGCAGAGGAUUGGAUGAAAGGUCUGCAAGCAUUUUGCAGUUUACGGAAAAGUAGCCCAGGGACAUCUAAUAAACGCCUUCGUCAGGUCAGCAGCCUUGUUUUACAUAUUGAAGAAGCCCAUAAACUACCAGUAAAACACUUUACUAAUCCAUAUUGUAACAUCUACUUGAAUAGCGUCCAAGUAGCAAAAACUCAUGCAAGGGAGGGGCAAAACCCAGUAUGGUCAGAGGAGUUUGUCUUUGAUGAUCUUCCUCCUGACAUCAAUAGAUUUGAAAUCACACUUAGUAAUAAAACAAAGAAAAGCAAAGAUCCAGAUAUCUUAUUUAUGCGUUGCCAGUUGAGCAGGUUACAGAAAGGACAUGCAACAGAUGAAUGGUUUCUACUAAGUUCCCAUAUACCACUAAAAGGUAUUGAACCAGGAUCUUUGCGUGUUCGAGCACGAUACUCCAUGGAAAAAAUCAUGCCAGAAGAAGAGUACAGUGAAUUUAAAGAGCUUAUACUGCAAAAGGAACUUCAUGUCGUCUAUGCUUUAUCACAUGUAUGUGGACAAGACCGAACACUACUGGCCAGCAUCCUACUAAAGAUAUUUCUUCAUGAAAAGCUUGAAUCAUUGUUGUUAUGCACACUAAAUGACAGAGAGAUAAGUAUGGAAGAUGAAGCCACUACCCUAUUUCGAGCUACAACACUUGCAAGUACCUUGAUGGAGCAGUAUAUGAAAGCUACUGCCACACAGUUUGUUCAUCAUGCUUUGAAAGACUCCAUUUUAAAGAUUAUGGAAAGCAAGCAAUCAUGUGAGUUAAGUCCGUCAAAGUUAGAAAAAAAUGAAGAUGUGAACACUAAUUUAGCACACCUAUUGAGCAUACUUUCAGAGCUUGUGGAGAAAAUAUUCAUGGCUUCAGAAAUACUUCCACCGACACUGAGAUAUAUCUAUGGGUGUUUACAGAAAUCAGUUCAGCAUAAGUGGCCUACAAAUAACACCAUGAGAACAAGAGUCGUUAGUGGUUUUGUUUUUCUUCGCCUUAUCUGCCCUGCUAUCCUGAAUCCACGGAUGUUUAAUAUCAUCUCAGAUUCCCCAUCUCCUAUUGCUGCAAGAACACUGACAUUAGUGGCUAAAUCUGUGCAGAAUUUAGCAAAUCUUGUGGAAUUUGGAGCUAAGGAGCCUUAUAUGGAAGGUGUCAAUCCAUUUAUAAAAAGUAAUAAACAUCGCAUGAUCAUGUUUUUAGAUGAACUUGGGUUUUAUGAUUCCCUUAAAGAAUGUACCUGAACUUCCGGACACUACAGAGCAUUCUAGAACUGACCUGUCUCGUGACUUAGCAGCAUUGCAUGAGAUUUGUGUAGCUCAUUCAGAUGAACUGAGAACACUCAGCAAUGAGCGUGGUGUACAGCAGCACGUACUGAAAAAGCUUCUGGCGAUAACAGAACUGCUUCAACAAAAACAAAACCAGUAUACAAAAACCAAUGACAUCAGGUAGCAGCCUGUGUUCUGCGUGGAUUCAGUAUGCCCACCGUGGUAAUUCACACCAUCAUGUCUCCUUUGCUCUUGCCAAAAAGAAAAAAAUAGAGAAAGAAAAAAAAUAGCACACUUUCCCACAUUCCAGUGAUGUGUGAGCUAUGCAAGCAAAAACCCAAGAUUCUGCUGAAGAGCAACUGCCAGCACCUUUGUAAGCUAUCUGUGCAGAAUAUUGCGCACUUUUUCCACAUGGAAUCUCUACCAAACUCUGAGCCUUGGUGUACCCUUAACAACAACAAAAAUGCUAUGACUGACUGUGUCUUGAACUUUGAAAAUAUAUUUUCAGUAUAUCCAAUUGCCAAAGUUUUGCUGUCUCUUGGAAAAGGAACUAUGAAAUCAACUGACAAGGAAACGCAUUCUAUAGACAACAGAAUUUAACUGGAUCGCAGACAGUUAUUACUGUAAUUUCUUCUUUAUGAACAUGACCAUUUGACUGUUCACUGACUUUCUUUGUAUUUACAGUUUCCAGAGUUUGACAUUAUAAUAGGAACAAUCUUGCUGUAUACUUUUUAAAAAUACUGUGCUAUUCUUUCUGGAACUGUUGAAAGACAAUAUAUAAAAUCGAUGAAUCUAUUGCUCAUCAGCUUUAUUUUUUAAACAUACCACUUAUUUUGUUGGAAUUGUCAAAGACUGUAUUUAGAUCUCAUGCUUUUGUUAAAAUGUUUACAACAGUAAAUAGUUUAAAUUCAAUAAAUAUUAUUGGUCAUUGUACCAAUUAUUGCAUGUUACCCAUUUGACCAUUUUAUAGAUUGCUGAUGUCUUUUAUGUUUAAACGAAGUGCUAGAAUACUUUUGUCACUUCUAAGAUGGUUUUUGUUAUCUUUGAUUAUGCAGAUAACCUAAUCAGCCACUUAACAACUUACACAUCUUUUAAUUUGUACUUGUUUUACCUGCUGGAUAUUUAGUUUGUAUAGUUCAUUUGCUCUUGUGUAUGUAUUUUUGUGUGAAGUAUUCACAAGGGUUAAGUUAAAAUAAACUAAGGGAUAGCUUGCAUAACUGAUUAGCUUACUAUUUAACUUUAUUAUAAUUUUCUUCCCACUAUAGGGAUAGUUCAAGCUUUAAUAUCAGAGCAAAAUCAGGGUUAUUUUUAUUGUUUCUUUCACAAAGGAGUCCAUUUAUUUACUCAAUAUACAACUUGUUAAUUGAAGACCGGAUUUAAAAACAGUAUGUAGCAGAGGAUUCUUAGUGAUCAAAAUAGGUUUGUUGUUUUCUUUUUUUAAAGAACCACCAAGGGAGGUACUAAGGAAGGUAUUAAUAAAGUUUUCUCAAUAAAAAUAUUUUUCUGAAGGCCUA